rnacentral:tRNA from 1 species
GGGUGUUUAGCUCAGCUGGUUUAGAGCAUCUGCCUUACAAGCAGAGGGUCGGGGGUUCGAAUCCCUCAACACCCA